rnacentral:rRNA from 1 species
AGAGCUUGCUCUCGGGUGACGAGCGCGGACGGGUGAGUAAUGUCUGGUAAACUGCCUGAUGAAGGGGGAUAACUACUGGAAACGGAAGCUAAAACCGCUUAACGUCGCAUGACCGAAGUGGUGGACCUUCGGGCCUCAUGCUAUCAGAUGUGCCCCGAUGGGAUUAGCUACGACGUGGGAUAACGGCUCACCUAGGCGACGAUCCCUAGCUGGUCUGAGAGGAUGACCAGCCACACUGGAACUGAGCCACGAUCAAACACUCAAAGGGAGGCAGCAGUGGGGAAUAUUGCACAAUGGGCGCAAGCCUGAUGCAGCCAUGCCGCGUAUGUGAAGAAGGCCUUCGGGUUGUAAAGCACUUUCAGCGGGGAGGAAGGCGGUGAGGUUAAUAACCUUGUCGAUUGACGUUACCCGCAGAAGAAGCACCGGCUAACUCCGUGCCAGCAGCCGCGGUAAUACGGAGGGUGCAAGCGUUAAUCGGAAUUACUGGGCGUAAAGCGCACGCAGGCGGUCUGUCAAGUCGGAUGUGAAAUCCCCCGGGCUCAACCUGGGGAACUGCAUUCGAAACUGGCAGGCUAGAGUCUUGUAGAGGGGGGUAGAAUUCCAGGUGUAGCGGUGAAAUGCGUAGAGAUCUGGAGGAAUACCGGUGG